CGCUGCAACAGACAAACAGAAAGUUGUUUUUGAGGUACUCAUACUUCACUCAAAUAUUCCAGAGUAUUCCAGAGUGUUCCCGAGUAUUCCCGAGUGUUCCCGCUCUCUGCAGUGCCGCCACAAGGACCAGCCGUUACCUUCAGGGUGUUUCCGGUUCCAGAGACAGUGCGUUUCGGCCCCGGAGAGCCAGCGGCGCCCCCUGGAGCCCCGCCCACUCCAUACACCGUGGGGGAGGUGGCACCUGAGAGAGGAUAAACAGGGAGACACCACCCGGGCCGUUCGGCUGAGCGCUCCACCAGCUCCACGGUCUGACCACAGCGGACGCUGAGCUCUCCUGGUCCCCCGGAGGAGAAGUCCAAUAACACCACGACUAACUCACAGCCUCCGGACAGCUGGAGACACACACAGGAAGCACACAUUAUUGACUUCUGACGACCCUGAAACCGGCAGCGACAAACAAACCCGACAUGACAAAUGACUAAACUGCCGACAUCUGAUUGGCUGGGUAGGGAGCAGAAAACAUCACGUGAUCUAGAUCAGUGAGAUCACCAUGGUUACGGAGGACUCUGUGUGUGCUGACUUAUAGUGAACUCGAGCACACACACACACACACACACACACACACACACACACACACACUCUCUCAGAGGGUCUGCUGGGAGUAGCGGGGUGUUUCCCGUCCAAAUCGAACCCAGAUGUGAUCAGUUUCAGCUCGGCUGGCGUCACAUGUGGAGGACACAGACACACAGAUGUACGGUGGACACAGACACACAGAUGUACAGUGGACACAGACACACAGAUGUACAGUGGACACAGACACACAGAUGUAACGUGGACACAGACACACAGAUGUAACAUGGACACAGACACACAGAUGUACAGUGGACACAGACACACAGAUGUACAGUGGACACAGACACACAGAUGUACGGUGGACACAGACACACAGAUGUAAGGUGGACACAGACACACAGAUGUACAGUGGACACAGACACACAGAUGUAAAGUGGACACAGACACACAGAUGUACAUGGACACAGACACACAGAUGUACGGUGGACACAGACACACAGAUGUACGGUGGACACAGACACACAGAUGUACGGUGGACACAGACACACAGAUGUAACGUGGACACAGACACACAGAUGUACGGUGGAGGAAAGGACCAGAGUGAAAGUAGAAAUGUGAAAUAAGAUAUAAAAAAAUACUAAAAGUAGUAAAAGUAGUGAAAUGUUCCAGGUUUUUUGAGGCAGACAGAUUUCAUUGGAGAAAAUGAAUGUGUGUUUUCAGGAUCCUGUCCUGGAUUCUCUAGAAAAAGACCUUUAUUUAAUAUUCAAACAUUAUUUAAAUAAAUAAAUGAUCAUAAAUAAUUUAA